AUUGAACGCUGGCGGCAGGCCUAACACAUGCAAGUCGAGCGGUAACACAGAGGAGCUUGCUCCUUGGGUGACGAGCGGCGGACGGGUGAGUAAUGCCUGGGGAUCUGCCCGAUAGAGGGGGAUAACUACGGGAAACUGUAGCUAAUACCGCAUAAUGUCUACGGACCAAAGUGGGGGCUCUUCGGACCUCAUGCUAUCGGAUGAACCCAGGUGGGAUUAGCUAGUUGGUGAGGUAAUGGCUCACCAAGGCGACGAUCUCUAACUGGUUUGAGAGAAUGACCAGUCACACUGGAACUGAGACACGGUCCAGACUCCUACGGGAGGCAGCAGUGGGGAAUAUUGCACAAUGGGCGCAAGCCUGAUGCAGCCAUGCCGCGUGUGUGAAGAAGGCCUUCGGGUUGUAAAGCACUUUCAGCGGGGAGGAAGGGUCACUAGUUAAUACCUAGUGGCAUUGACGUUACUCGCAGAAGAAGCACCGGCUAACUCCGUGCCAGCAGCCGCGGUAAUACGGAGGGUGCAAGCGUUAAUCGGAAUUACUGGGCGUAAAGCGCACGCAGGCGGUUUGUUAAGUCANAUGUGAAAUCCCCGAGCUCAACUUGGGAACUGCAUUUGAAACUGGCAAGCUAGAGUCUUGUAGAGGGGGGUAGAAUUCCNGG
rnacentral:rRNA from 1 species